rnacentral:snoRNA from 2 species
UAUCCCUAUGAUGAUUGAUUGGAAUUAAAAUAAAAGUAGUGGACUGAGUCUUACUGAUGAAAAGUAUCAAUUCUGAGGGAUA